rnacentral:rRNA from 1 species
AUACAGAGGGUGCAAGCGUUAAUCGGAAUUACUGGGCGUAAAGCGCGCGUAGGCGGCUUGGUCAGUCGGAUGUGAAAGCCCCGGGCUCAACCUGGGAACUGCAUUCGAUACUGCUAGGCUAGAGUAUGGUAGAGGGUAGUAGAAUUCCUGGUGUAGCGGUGAAAUGCGUAGAUAUCAGGAGGAAUACCAGUGGCGAAGGCGGCUACCUGGACCAAUACUGACGCUGAGGUGCGAAAGCGUGGGGAGCAAACAGGAUUAGAAACCCUAGUAGUCC